rnacentral:rRNA from 1 species
GAUGAACGCUAGCUACAGGCUUAACACAUGCAAGUCGAGGGGCAGCGGUAUCGAAAGCUUGCUUUCGGUAGCCGGCGACCGGCGCACGGGUGAGUAACGCGUAUCGAACCUGCCUCAUACUCGGGAAUAGCCUUGCGAAAGAAAGCUUAAUGCCCGGUGUUUUCAGAGUCCCGCAUGAGGCUUUGAACAAAGCUUUAUCGGUAUGAGAUGGCGAUGCGUCCCAUUAGCGUGUUGGCGGGGUAACGGCCCACCAAGGCAUCGAUGGGUAGGGGUUCUGAGAGGAAGGUCCCCCACAUUUGAACUGAGACACGGUCCAAACUCCUACGGGAGGCAGCAGUGAGUAAUAUUGGUCAAUGGGCGGAGGCCUGAACCAGCCAAGUAGCGUGCAAGAAGACGGCCCUCCGGGUUUUAAACUGCUUUUAGUUGGGAAUAAAACGGGGCUAGUGAUCCCCCUUGCAUGUACCAUCAGAAAAAGGACCGGCUAAUUCCGUGCCAGCCGCCGCCGUAA